CCUACGGGGGGUAGCAGUGAGGAAUAUUGGUCAAUGGACGAGAGUCUGAACCAGCCAAGUAGCGUGAAGGAUGACUGCCCUAUGGGUUGUAAACUUCUUUUAUAUGGGAAUAAAAUGUUCCACGUGUGGGAUUUUGUAUGUACCAUAUGAAUAAGGAUCGGCUAACUCCGUGCCAGCAGCCGCGGUAAUACGGAGGAUCCGAGCGUUAUCCGGAUUUAUUGGGGUUAAAGGGAGCGUAGGUGGAUUGUUAAGUCAGUUGUGAAAGUUUGCGGCUCAACCGUAAAAUUGCAGUUGAAACUGGCAGUCUUGAGUACAGUAGAGGUGGGCGGAAUUCGUGGUGUAGCGGUGAAAUGCUUAGAUAUCACGAAGAACUCCGAUUGCGAAGGCAGUUCACUGGACUGCAACUGACACUGAGGCUCGAAAGUGUGGGUAUCAAACAGGAUUAGAUACCCGUGUAGUC
rnacentral:rRNA from 1 species